CGCCACGGCCGGGUACAGAACAGC
rnacentral:piRNA from 1 species